rnacentral:rRNA from 1 species
UACCCCGCAAUGCCGCGUGUGUGAAGAAGGCCUUCGGGUUGUAAAGCACUUUUGUCCGGAAAGAAAUCCUUGGUCCUAAUAUGGCCGGGGGAUGACGGUACCGGAAGAAUAAGCACCGGCUAACUACGUGCCAGCAGCCGGGGGAAUACGUAGGGUGCAAGCGUUAAUCGGAAUUACUGGGCGUUAAGCGCGCCCAAGGGGGAUUGUUAAGACCUCUGGGAAAUCCCCGGGCUCCACCCGGCAACUGCAUUGGCGAGUUGCAGGCUGGAGUAUCGCAGAGGGGGGUAGAAUUCCACGUGUAGCAGUGAAAUGCGUAGAGAUGUGGAGGAAUACCGAUGGCGAAGGCAGCCCCCUGGGCCAAUACUGACGCUCAUGCACGAAAGCGUGGGGAGCAAACAGGAUUAGAUACCCUGGUAGUCCACGCCCUAAACGAUGUCAACUAGUUGUUGGGGAUUCAUUUCCUUAGUAACGUAGCUAACGCGUGAAGUUGACCGCCUGGGGGUACGGUCGCAAGAUUAACAUU